UGCCUGUCUCUGUGUGAUAUGUUUGAUAUUAGGUUGUUUUUUGGUUUAAAGCAACUAAAUAUUAGACAUAUUCCUACAGCGUCUGGCC
rnacentral:pre_miRNA from 13 species